rnacentral:rRNA from 1 species
UACAGAGGUGGCGAGCGUUAUUCGGAAUUAUUGGGCGUAAAGGGCGCGUAGGCGGCUUGACAAGUCCCGGGUGAAAUCCCUCGGCUCAACCGAGGAACUGCCUUGGAAACUGUCUGGCUUGAGGCCGGGAGAGGGUAGUGGAAUUCCCAGUGUAGCGGUGAAAUGCGUAGAUACUGGGAGGAACACCGGUGGCGAAGGCGGCUACCUGGACCGGUUCUGACGCUGAGGCGCGAAAGCGUGGGUAG